UUGAUUACGUCCCUGCCCUUUGUACACACCGCCCGUCGCUGCCCGGGACUGAGCCAUUUCGAGAAACUCGAGGACGAUUAUGCGUGUCGGCUUCGGUCGUCGCGUUGAUUGGAACCGAUUUAAUCGCAGUGGCUUGAACCGGGCAAAAGUCGUAACAAGGUAGCUGUAGGUGAACCUGCUGCUGGAUCAUUACCCAAGUGGUACCAAUUCACCACCUACCUGCUGUCCAGUUGAGUCAGUGUGGGCAACACCACAUGCCUCCGUUUGUUGUUGACGGACACAUGCCCGCUGUGCAUUGGCUGGCACAUUGACCAACAAUGUACGGACAGCGCCCUGUGGGCACAUGAGUGUUGGGGUGUAACCGAUGUUGGUGGCCCUAUGGGUGAGCCGACGAUUGCUGCUGUCGUCGGGUCGCUGCGCCAACGGAGGAAGCACGCCCACAGGGCACCCUAACGGCUGUGCUGGCGUCUGUGCGUCGUUGAGCGGUUGUUGCGCCUUGCGCAGAUAUGCUAACAUGGAGUGUAGCUGCUACUCCAUGUUGUACGUGCCGUACCUUGCGGCAUGUCUGCGCUUGUGUGCUACGUCCGUGGCCGUGAUGAGACGACGUGUUAGGACCCGUGCCUGGCAUUGGCACGUGGUUUAAGACUUGAUGAGUGCCCGCAGGCACCGCCAGCUUUUUCCCAUUUUUAUUUAUUUUUUAUGCAAUUCGAUUGCUAAAAUAUUCUAGUCUUAUCGGUGGAUCACUCGGCUCGUGGAUCGAUGAAGAACGCAGCCAACUGCGAUAAUUAGUGUGAAACUGCAGAAACCUUGAACACAGAACUUUCGAAUGCACAUUGCGCCAUUGGAGUGACAUCCAUUGGCACGCCUGGUUCAGGGUCGUAACCAAAAAAUGCACUGCAUGUGCGUGUUUUAUUUGCAAAGAUCACGCUUCGGCGUGUUCUUGCAUACUAUUGAAUGCUACGCUGUGUAGCGUUGGACGUGCUGGCGCGGAAAUGUGUUGUCAUUCGCGCUUUACAGACCGUAAUUUAGGCACGCCCUUCGUUCACAUGCGAUAGCUGAAUGCCUCGCCAAUAGGCAUUUGCAAUUGAACAGUUCGACCUGAACUCAGACGUGAACACCCGCUGAACUUAAGCAUAUCAGUAAGCGGAGGAAAAGAAACUAACGAGGAUUCCCUUAGUAACGGCGAGUGAAUGAUUACGUCCCUGCCCUUUGUACACACCGCCCGUCGCUGCCCGGGACUGAGCCAUUUCGAGAAACUCGGGGACGAUUAUGCGUGUCGGCUUCGGUCGUCGCGUUGAUUGGAACCGAUUUAAUCGCAGUGGCUUGAACCGGGCAAAAGUCGUAACAAGGUAGCUGUAGGUGAACCUGCUGCUGGAUCAUUACCCAAGUGAUACCAAUUCACCACCUACCUGCUGUCCAGUUGAGUCAGUGUGGGCAACACCACAUGCCUCCGUUUGUUGUUGACGGACAUAUGCCCACUGUGUAUGGGCUGGCACAUUGACCAACAAUGUACGGACAGCGCCCUGUGGGCACAUGAGUGUUGGGGUGUAACCGAUGUUGGUGGCCCUAUGGGUGAGCCGACGAUUGCUGCUGUCGUCGGGUCGCUGCGCCAACGGAGGAAGCACGCCCACAGGGCACCCUAACGGCUGUGCUGGCGUCUGUGCGUCGUUGAGCGGUUGUUGCGCCUUGCGCAGAUAUGCUAACAUGGAGUGUAGCUGCUACUCCAUGUUGUACGUGCCGUACCUUGCGGCAUGUCUGCGCUUGUGUGCUACGUCCGUGGCCGUGAUGAGACGACGUGUUAGGACCCGUGCCUGGCAUUGGCACGUGGUUUAAGACUUGAUGAGUGCCCGCAGGCACCGCCAGCUUUUUCCCAUUUUUAUUUAUUUUUUAUGCAAUUCGAUUGCUAAAAUAUUCUAGUCUUAUCGGUGGAUCACUCGGCUCGUGGAUCGAUGAAGAACGCAGCCAACUGCGAUAAUUAGUGUGAACUGCAGAAACCUUGAACACAGAACUUUCGAAUGCACAUUGCGCCAUUGGAGUGACAUCCAUUGGCAUGCCUGGUUCAGGGUCGUAACCAAAAAAUGCACUGCAUGUGCGUGUUUUAUUUGCUAGGAUCACGCUUCGGCGUGUUCUUGCAUACCAUUGAAUGCUACGCGGUGUAGCGGUGGACGUGCUGGCGCGAAAAUGUGUUGUCAUUCGCGCUUUACAGACCGUAAUUUAGGCACGCCCUUCGUUCACAUGCGAUAGCUGAAUGCCUCGCCAAUAGGCAUUUGCAAUUGAACAUUUCGACCUGAACUCAGACGUGAACACCCGCUGAACUUAAGCAUAUCAGUAAGCGGAGGAAAAGAAACUAACGAGGAUUCCCUUAGUAACAGGCGAGUGAA
rnacentral:misc_RNA from 1 species